GCAGUAUCCUAACGGGCCAAUCAGGGUAGAGCGUUGCACUCGUAAUGCAAAGGUCCGUCGUUCAAAUCGGCGUGGAGGCA
rnacentral:tRNA from 1 species